rnacentral:rRNA from 1 species
GGAAUUCCUAGUGUAGCGGUGAAAUGCGUAGAUAUUAGGAAGAACNCCAGUGGCGAAGGCGACUUUCUGGACGAAAACUGACGCUGAGGCGCGAAAGCCAGGGGAGCGAACGGGAUUAGAUACCCCGGUAGUCCUGGCCGUAAACGAUGGGUACUAGGUGUAGGAGGUAUCGACCCCUUCUGUGCCGGAGUUAACGCAAUAAGUACCCCGCCUGGGGAGUACGACCGCAAGGUUGAAACUCAAAGGAAUUGACGGGGGCCCGCACAAGCGGUGGAGUAUGUGGUUUAAUUCGACGCAACGCGAAGAACCUUACCAGGUCUUGACAUUGAUGGACAGAACCAGAGAUGGUUCCUCUUCUUCGGAAGCCAGAAAACAGGUGGUGCACGGUUGUCGUCAGCUCGUGUCGUGAGAUGUUGGGUUAAGUCUNNCANNNNNCGCAACCCCUAUCUUAUGUUGCCAGCACGUGAUGGUGGGAACUCAUGAGAGACUGCCGCAGACAAUGCGGAGGAAGGCGGGGAUGACGUCAAAUCAUCAUGCCCCUUAUGACCUGGGCUACACACGUACUACAAUGGGAGUUAAUAGACGGAAGCGAGAUCGCGAGAUGGAGCAAACCCGAGAAACACUCUCUCAGUUCGGAUCGUAGGCU